UACGGAGGAUGCAAGCGUUAUCCGGAAUUAUUGGGCGUAAAGCGUCCGCAGGUGGCACUUCAAGUCUGUCGUCAAAGACCGGGGCUUAACCCUGGAAAGGCGAUGGGAACUGAAAGGCUAGAGAGAGGUAGGGGUAGAGGGAAUUCCCAGUGUAGCGGUGAAAUGCGUAGAGAUUGGGAAGAACAUCGGUGGCGAAAGCGCUCUACUGGACCUCAUCUGACACUCAGGGACGAAAGCUAGGGGAGCGAAUGGG
rnacentral:rRNA from 1 species